rnacentral:rRNA from 1 species
UCGGGAAUUUUGGGCAAUGGGCGAAAGCCUGACCCAGCAACGCCGCGUGAGGGAUGAAGUAUUUCGGUAUGUAAACCUCGAAAGAAUGGGAAGAAUAAAUGACGGUACCAUUUAUAAGCUCCGGCUAACUACGUGCCAGCAGCCGCGGUAAUACGUAGGGAGCAAGCGUUGUUCGGAUUUACUGGGCGUAAAGGGCGCGUAGGCGGCGCGGUAAGUCACUUGUGAAAUCUCGGAGCUUAACUCAGAACGGCCAAGUGAUACUGCCGUGCUAGAGUGCGGAAGAGGCAACCGGAAUUCUUGGUGUAGCGGUGAAAUGCGUAGAUAUCAAGAGGAACACCUGAGGCGAAGGCGGGUUGCUGGGCCGACACUGACGCUGAUGCGCGAAAGCCAGGGGAGCAAACG